rnacentral:lncRNA from 1 species
UCCAUCAUCCAGCUUUGACGGCUAACACCAACUCCUUCCCGAAUUCCUAGUGUUUUUAUUUAAAAUGUAUAAUUAAUUUGACAGAAACUGUCAGUAGUUGACCAUUGUUGAACCCGAAGAGUAAUAAUUUAGAAUAAAUAACAAUUAAGUUUAACAGGCAUGUUUCAACCAAUAGUAAGUACAUACUUUCAAGUUAACACCACUUACUCAAAGACUGCCUAUAUCAAACUGGAAUUGAUUUCAACAGAUUAAUGCAAACUCUUGCCAUGUAUUAAACAGGUUAGGAGCAACACCCUGAUUAAACAAACCUGUUAGCAGGUAAUGAAAUUGGUGUGGGGGACUCCAAGCCAUAAAAAAAAAAAAAAAAAAAAAGCACAUUAAGACUGGAUGAGAUUUUAAAAUAAGCAUCCUAUCCUUUUCAAAUUCUACAAAGCUCCAAGUAAUAAAAAAAUGUAAUCCUCCUUUAAAGACAUCACUUGUGCCUUCCCACAUAGCCAGUCUCCUAUUUACUUUUCCUUAGCACACACACCAAGUCUUUAGGAAUGCUAAUUAGGAUUUCUGAGCCACAACAAAAUUGGAAUGUCUGCAGAGGACAUACCAACUUUUCCAGACUUUCCUCAGGCUAUAUAAUGGCCAAGUCAAGUGGCAGUCAGCUGUAGCUGCUGUUUUGGCUUAUGGGUGAUGGAAGGAUGCAGAAGAGUAAACCACCUAGUGCUUCUCCCCUCUCACUCAGUGCCUGAUAAGCUUGAGUUCUUCUGCUUUAAAAGCCCAGUGUCAUCAUCUGCACUUCUUAAAAGUAACUCAUUUCAGCAAGCUCCCUUGCUUUGACUCCACAGCACCUAAAGUAAAUCACUAAGAACCCACUGGAGUGACAUGCUGCUGAAUUCCACAUUAGAAACUUAUUUGCAUUCCCACUUCACUCAGUUCAGGUUUAUAUGGAAUCCCAUGGUGUCUACAUCAGUGCUUUGAGCUGCACACAUCCUUUUCAGAAUACACUUUUCUGAUUUCACAUUUUGUGUAGUAUGUGCAUGGAAAAUUUAACCAGGCUGGCAGCCAAAACACCAGAAGCCAACCUAAAUCGACAUGUUAGCCCUGGGGAGGUGGCUUUUUACUGACACUAAAUAAAACUGACUAAUCCAUCUGUAAGAAAAACAAAAGCCCAAAACCUUACAAUUCUUUAGUGCCUCUUUGGGUUAAGUCACUGAGGGGUUAUUUUCAGGUAAUGAAAUCUCAGCUCUUAAAAAAUCCUUACC